GUCCGUGUGGCUUAAUGGACAGGGCGUCUGCUUUCUAAGUAGGGAUGUGUGGGUUCGGGUCCCGUCACGGACG
rfam:Taenia asiatica genome assembly, scaffold: TASK_scaffold0000876